GCGUCGGUGGUUCAGUGUAGAAUACUCGCCUGCCACGCGGGUGGCCCGGGUUCGAUUCCCGGCCGACGCA
rnacentral:tRNA from 1 species